rnacentral:guide_RNA from 1 species
AAAACAACAUCAGUAUUAUCUAAGACAGUGAUUGAAUCGUGUAAUU